AUGAACGCUGGCGGCGUGCCUAAUACAUGCAAGUCGAGCGAACAGACGAGGAGCUUGCUCCUCUGACGUUAGCGGCGGACGGGUGAGUAACACGUGGAUAACCUACCUAUAAGACUGGGAUAACUUCGGGAAACCGGAGCUAAUACCGGAUAAUAUAUUGAACCGCAUGGUUCAAUAGUGAAAGACGGUUUUGCUGUCACUUAUAGAUGGAUCCGCGCCGCAUUAGCUAGUUGGUAAGGUAACGGCUUACCAAGGCAACGAUGCGUAGCCGACCUGAGAGGGUGAUCGGCCACACUGGAACUGAGACACGGUCCAGACUCCUACAGGAGGCAGCAGUAGGGAAUCUUCCGCAAUGGGCGAGAGCCGGACGGAGCAACGCCGCGUGAGUGAUGAAGGUCUUCGGAUCGUAAAACUCUGUUAUUAGGGAAGAACAAAUGUGUAAGUAACUAUGCACGUCUUGACGGUACCUAAUCAGAAAGCCACGGCUAACUACGUG
rnacentral:rRNA from 1 species